UCUACCUGGGUGAGAAUCCUGUGUUUCGCUUGAUGUCCGCCGUGCACGGUACUUGCUCACAGAGUCACGCUCCUCGGAAUUGGAGCGUAAAUUGGGUGGUAAAUUUCAUCUAAAGCUAAAUACAGGCUCGAGACCGAUAGCAAACAAGUACCAUGAGGGAAAGAUGAAAAGGACUUUGAAAAGAGAGUUAAAAGUGUUUGAAAUCGCUGAACUGGAAGCGAAUGGAACUAGUGCUCUGGCUGAGAUUGCUGUAAGUGGCAGCCAAAUUUGGGUGUCUGAACGCAAGUCUNUCACCUGGCUGUAAGCUGUUGC
rnacentral:rRNA from 1 species